GAGGAAUAUUGGUCAAUGGGCGAGAGCCUGAACCAGCCAAGUCGCGUGAAGGAAGAAGGAUCUAUGGUUCGUAAACUUCUUUUGCAGGGGAAUAAAGUGCAGGACGUGUCCUGUUUUGUAUGUACCCUGAGAAUAAGGAUCGGCUAACUCCGUGCCAGCAGCCGUGGUAAUACGGAGGAUCCGAGCGUUAUCCGGAUUUAUUGGGUUUAAAGGGUGCGUAGGUGGUUUGAUAAGUCAGCGGUGAAAGUUUGCAGCUUAACUGUAAAAUUGCCGUUGAAACUGUUAUUCUUGAGAGUAGAUAAGGUAGGCGGAAUGUGUUGUGUAGCGGUGAAAUGCAUAGAUAUAACACAGAACCCCGAUUGCGAAGGCAGCUUACCGGGCUACAUCUGACGCUGAUGCACGAAGGCGUGGGGAUCAAAC
rnacentral:rRNA from 1 species